GAGCGAGAAAGUCGACUUCGGUCGAUGAGUAAAGCGGCGAACGGGUGAGUAACACGUGGAUAACCUGCCUUGGAGUGGGGGAUAACCUGGGGAAACUCGGGCUAAUACCGCAUACGUUCACAGCACUACGGCGCUGUGAAGAAAGCUGGCCAAUUCUUGAAAGCUAGCGCUCUUGGAGGGGUCCGCGUCCGAUUAGCUUGUUGGUGAGGUAACGGCUCACCAAGGCUGCGAUCGGUAGCCGGCCUGAGAGGGUGAUCGGCCACACUGGGACUGAGACACGGCCCAGACUCCUACGGGAGGCAGCAGUGGGGAAUAUUGGACAAUGGGCGCAAGCCUGAUCCAGCAACGCCGCGUGGAGGACGAAGGCCUUCGGGUCGUAAACUCCUGUCAGUUGGGACGAAAAGUCGCCGGUCAAUAUCCGGCGACGCUGACGGUACCAGCAGAGGAAGCCCCGGCUAACUCCGUGCCAGCAGCCGCGGUAAUACGGAGGGGGCAAGCGUUAUUCGGAAUUAUUGGGCGUAAAGGGCGCGUAGGCGGCUUGGUAGGCCAAAGGUGAAAUCCCUCAGCUCAACUGAGGAACUGCCUUUGAAACCACCUCGCUCGAGGCUG
rnacentral:rRNA from 1 species